UGCGGGCCUAGCAGGAGGCCCAGUUGGCUGAGCGAGAGGCUGAGCGAGCCGAGCGGGAGGCCGAGCGUCAGAGGAUACAAGCUUUGGAGGCCCAGCAAGAGGGUUUGCUCAAGUUCGUGCAACAACUUGGGCAACAAUAAGGUUGGGAGAUCCCAGCAUAGCUGCUUGCACCACCACCACCACCAUAUCGUCGAGAGUCUACUCCGCAUGCAUCGGGGGCGGCGUCCAACCAUGUCGGAGGGUCGCUAGGAUCGCACGGCGUGCUAUGCACACCUAGACCGUCGCCGGGAUCGCAAGCUGGGGCGUCCCAACCCUCGCCGGCAUCGCACACUGGACAGUCGCCGUGAGCUGCCUUGGGAGUUGUUUUUAUGUAUUAAACUUGUGAACUUGGAAUAAUAUGUACUCUUAAACGUGUGGUUUGUAAUAUAUUCUGAAUUUCGUAUAAAUUUGGUCAUUUGUGAUAUAUAUAAAUGUGGUUUGUGAUA